GACGAACGCUGGCGGCGUGCUUAACACAUGCAAGUCGAACGGAAAGGCCCUGCUUGCAGGGUGCUCGAGUGGCGAACGGGUGAGUAACACGUGGGUGAUCUGCCCCUUACUUUGGGAUAAGCCUGGGAAACUGGGUCUAAUACUGGAUAGGACCAUGCUGCAGGUGGUGUGGUGGAAAGAUUAGUUUCGGUUAGGGAUGAGCUCGCGGCCUAUCAGCUUGUUGGUGGGGUAAUGGCCUACCAAGGCGUCGACGGGUAGCCGGCCUGAGAGGGUGGACGGCCACAUUGGGACUGCGACACGGCCCAGACGCCUACGGGAGGCAGCAGUGGGGGAUAGUGCACAGUAGGCGCAAGGCUGGUGCAACGACGCCGCUUGGGGGGUAACGGCCUUCGGGUUGUAAACACCUUUCAGCCAUGACGAAGCCCUUGUGGUGACGUUAGUGGUAGAAGAAGCACCGGCUAACUACGUG
rnacentral:rRNA from 1 species